GCUGUGGCUCAGUGGUAGGGUGCUUGCCUAGCAUGCAUGAGGUACUGGGCCCAAUCCCCAGCACAACA
rnacentral:tRNA from 1 species